CGGCCCUGUUGGAUCGCAGAGGCCGGGAGAGCCGGCCCGAGGGACGGCAGCGCUGCGCUCCGCUCCGCCGGGACGGAGCUGCCGCCGGGGAACCGGGAUACCGGGGCUUACCGGGCCAGGGGCGGCUACGGCCUUUUCUUUUGUUUACUAAUCUCCCGCCCGGGUGGCCUGAUAGCUCUUGAGGCCGGAUCUUUGAGAUGGCAGUGACUACUGAGGAGACUCAAAACUCACUAAAGUGCUAAGAAGAAAUGACAGAGGAGUGCUCUGCACUAAGUGAAGCAUCUCUGUCACACCCUGCAGGGCUCGGGGACCCUUGUGGAAGAGGUGGCGGAGAGAAGACAAGAGCCAAAGGACGGGGGGAGUGCUUACAGUCCUGUCUAUCAGACACAAGUGGCUGUGAUAAUCAUGAUCUUCAGCUGCAAAUAUACCUACACCAGACCUGGAUACUGAAGGCAAAAAUGAUGACUUUAAAGUAGAAGAGAGAUUAAUUGGAAAGAAGAAGGGGUUCAGUGGAGGGAGUAUUUGGAUCAGGUUAAGGGAGACUUGUGGGAGAGGAUUAUUAUCAUGGUAUAUUGUCUAUAUGUACAGAGGUUGUUAAUAAAACAUUCUUUAGAA